UGCGAAGGGUGCAAGCGUUACUCGGAAUUACUGGGCGUAAAGCGUGCGUAGGUGGUGAGUUAAGUCUGUCGUGAAAGCCCCGGGCUCAACCUGGGAAUGGCGAUGGAUACUGGCUCGCUAGAGUGCGGUAGAGGAGAGUGGAAUUCCCGGUGUAGCAGUGAAAUGCGUAGAGAUCGGGAGGAACAUCAGUUGCGAAGGCGGCUCUCUGGACCAGCACUGACACUGAGGCACGAAAGCGUGGGGAGCAAACAGG
rnacentral:rRNA from 1 species